AAUUGUGUGGACAAUUCUGAAGAAGAUCCUUAAAGCAUUCCCAAGCAUGAUAGAUAAUCUCAUCAAUCUUCUAUUUAAAGCUUACUAUCUCACUACAAAGU
rnacentral:snoRNA from 1 species